UCCUACUUUGCCAUGACCUCAAAAGAACCACUCAAAUUGCAGAGUUACUAGAAAAAAAAUACUUUCAUUCAGUCACAGAACACUUUUUUCCCUUCAUCAGUGUUUUUGUGUUUGUCACUAUUAAGUAAAGAUGACUAGCCGUGCAUGCAUUGUUUUCAUGGUUGUCCUUAAGUAUGGAUGCUUUGGAGAGGACACUGUUAAUCAGCAAAAUGAGAAUAUAACUGCCACUGAAGGACAGCAGGUCUCAAUUAACUGUGAAUUUAAAACACUUCAACUAACUCCAUACCUUUACUGGUACAUUCAGCGCUCUAGUGCCCCUGAGUAUGUGCUGAUGAGAUACAAAUUUGGAUCAAGAAACAGUUCUGAAUUUAAAGAGAGAUUUGAUGCCCGGUUGGACUCAAAUUCAGUUCCACUGACAAUCAAGAAUCUGCGUGUGUCUGACUCUGCUGUGUACUACUGUGCUCUGCAGCCCACAGUGACUGAAACACCUCCAAACAUUGCACAAAAACAUGACACUGUGAUAUCCAUCAUAUCUUACAUGUCAGUUAAGCCACAAAAGUAA